UACUAUAACCAUAACAAUCAAGUAUUAAUCUAUUUUAUUCUUAGAAAAGAAAACAUUUAUUUAACAAACACAGUAAAAAGUAAAAAUAUUAUAAUAG